CAGUCGCCGCGGUAAUACGAAGGGUGCAAGCGUUACUCGGAAUUACUGGGCGUAAAGCGUGCGUAGGUGGUGGUUUAAGUCCGUUGUGAAAGCCCUGGGCUCAACCUGGGAAUUGCAGUGGAUACUGGGUCACUAGAGUGUGGUAGAGGAUAGUGGAAUUUCCGGUGUAGCAGUGAAAUGCGUAGAGAUCAGAAGGAACAUCUGUGGCGAAGGCGACUAUCUGGGCCAACACUGACACUGAGGCACGAAAGCGUGGGGAGCAAACAGGAUUAGAGACCCCUGUAGUCCCUGUCUCUUAUAC
rnacentral:rRNA from 1 species